GAUCCCCAAAUCCCCUCCCCACUGGAGCCACACCGCUCCUCCUCCGCCGUCUCCGUCCAAAUAGUGAAGCUGCGAGUCCAAAUUUCUCGCCAUAUUUCCAGCGGCAGUGGCAAACUACACUAAUUGAAGCGUGGUCUCCGGACCAUCAGCUAAACAGGAUGUGUAGGAUUCAUUAUGUCCAUGCGAGUCUAGUGAGCAGCGGCCGUCGCAUGAAAUUAGCAUCUUGUAGAUACUAUGGCCUAAGUUCUCAAAGUGGAUUACAGUACUGAAAAUUUCCUUGUACAGCAAGGGAAGCUCCCAACAUAUUUGUAGUUUGUCUUAAGAUAUUUCAUCAGGAUCUGCUUAAAAUAUUUGAGGUACCUAGAUUGGUUUCUGCCACCAAUUUCUGUAGUCUCGGACCCUUUUGAGUUUAUUUAUUUAAGAAAAUAUCAAAAAUAGAUUCUUCUGAUGCAAUAUGUCAAUACAUUUGAGAAUCUUCUGA